rnacentral:lncRNA from 1 species
GUGCAGAAUUCCUAGCACUGGGAAUUGUACAAACCAGGCUGAGCUCAGCUAACUGAAUGCUUCUUCCCUUCCUCCCUGGAAGGCAUCAGAGCUCAGCCUCUGCACAAGUGGCAUCCUGAACACCAGCUGCCCAAGGCCAUCUCUGCUCUUUGUGACUGACGCUCAUCCAGAGACAAACCUAGGAUGUGCUGCUCAGCCUUUUAACAUUUGAAGUGCACAUUUUUGUACUCACAUUUUGAGUUACAUAUUCUCGCCUUCCAUAAUUGAUGAGUGUGCUAAAAAAUUUAGUAACCCUCUGACAAGUGGCAGAUGGCACGGUUUCCUUCUGGAAGUAUUUUGUCCUGACAUUUUGUUAAUUAGACCCCAGCACAGGGCCCUCAUGUACACAUGGAACUCAGGGCUAUUGCCCGUGUCUAUCACAAGGUCUUCUGUCGAGUGGGAGGGCUAGGAAUGCUCUGUUUUGAGGAAACUGAGGGACAGGUCUUCCCCGUCUUCAAAGACAUGCUGCUGGGGGUACAAUGUGGAGGGCUAGGCAGAGGUUAGAGGGGAGACUGAGGCCAACAUAAAGAAAUUCCUAAAGUUUCUAUUGCAAUGGAUCCAGCAACCUGUGGGUCCUGGGCAUCUGGUCUUGUAAUUCAUUGUAUCUUUCUGGAGCCUGGAGGAUUCCUAGAGAGCGAGCAGGUGCUGGCCACAGAGGACCAGAGGCAGGAAGGGCCGGGGUGGUGUCAGGUGAGCCAUCCAGGAGCAUUAGGCACUGUCCAGGUGUGCAUGGAGCUUGGGGAAGUGUGUGGCCUGGAAGAGGGAGGCCCAGGUCUCACAGCAGUGAGGCUUGUGGUAGUGCACCCUAGACAGAGCCUGAGGCCCUCCUGGCCACGGCAUACGCUGCCAAAGCCAGGUGUGGACAGGGUGUCUGGAUCCACCGUUGGUGUAAACCCUAGGGAAAAUAGGACACACAUAUAUUGGGGAUGCCCACACACACCCCACAAAAGAACUGCAGAGUACCCAAGAAACCAAGCACAGUUACAGAUGCCCGAGGGGACGGGUCUGAGCAGUCAGCGCAGGGGUGGACUGGCCUCUGUCUCUUGAAGGCAUGUGUUUGUUUUUACACUUCUGAAUUACGAGAAUGUAUUGGCCUAUUCCGAAGUUAAGGUUGAAAGUACUAACUAUUAAGCUGGGUACCAUGGUGUGUGCCCGUAAUCCCAGCACUGUGGGAAGCUAAAGGAGUAGGAUUGCAAGUUUGUGCCCAACCUGGGCCACUUAACAAUUUAGAGAGACCCUAUCCCAGAAUAGAGGGAGGGAGGGGGACGCAGACAGACACACUAGGGAUGUAGUUCAAUGCAAAGCCUCUGAGUUCAAGCCCUAGUACUCAAAAAAAGUAUUAAUUAUUAUUGGGUGUCACUGAGGAUAGAAGGGCCUGACUUUAUGGCUGUCCAUACCGUCUCCACUCCUAGAGACCUGUGUCACUGGUGUGUUGCCUUGGACAUUUCUUAGGACUUUGCCAAGCAUGACUGAUGCAUCCCCAGUCAGCUGGCGUCUUUUUGCUCAGUGUCACCUCAUUUGCCCAUUGGUUGCUGGAGCCGGCACUGGAUUUUGAGAAAGCACAAGUUAGGAAGUUAAGAUAAUUUCUUAGAUGGUGGAUAAUGAGAAGGAUUCAAAUAGGUUUUUCAAAAGUUCGCACCUGCCGGGGAUUUAGCUCAGUGGUUCUGGCGCCUGCCUCAAAAGUUCGCACCUGAGGAAUUCAACCAGCAUGAGAGUGUGUAUUAGCUUUGUUACACUUUGUAACCACAAAUUGAGUUUCCCUAAUAGGUUUUUAAACCUUCCCAAAGUGAACUCUCAGUGAAGCUGAGUUUUCAUAAUGAGUUACUGAACGAAGUUUUAAUAAUGUAGGGCGGGGGAUUUAGCUCAGUGGUUCCUCCACCUGCCUUGCAAACACGAGGUCCUGAGUUUGAUCCCCAGUACCAAAAAAAAACAAAACAAAACAGAAUAAUGUAUUACUAAGACCUAGCUUUAGAAUAGGGAAGUUCUUAGCCAGAAAAGUAAAGUAGGAAAAUCGGCUCUUAGAUACUGGUUUUCCUCAUCUGGCCUCCCGAGGCCUCAGCCCGCAUCCUGUACCUGGGGUGCAGUUUGUCAGCAGCCAGUGUGAGGCGCAUGUGCAGGUCCCGCCCGCCCUUGCUCAUUCCUGAGCCUGGGAUUGGCCACGCAGAUGCAAGACGUGUGUGCACAGGUGGACAGCGUGCGCUUUGCACAGUGAAGGAGCUGGGCCUGCUUGGAAGGCGGCAAGGGACGAGGCUUCUGUGUGGUUGUCUGUAAAGAUGCUUUGGAAACUGCAUGGGGUUUGACCUGCAUUCUGACUCUGGAGUAGGUUCCCUCUGGCCUACCAGGAAGACUUGGAGACAAGAUUUCGGAACAAUCAGUGCCCCUCCAGAAUCUUGGUGGCAAUUUGGUUAUUGCUUUCCUAAAUUAUGUUUCUCACCAAGAACUAUUUUCUGCAAUGAGGCUUUUAGCAUAGAUGUCAUCAUUAAAUUUGUAGAAAUAAGAAUUAAGGCAUUUUCUCUCAGAAAAUGAACCUAAGCCUCUUUUCAACUUUUCCCCACCUGCCAGCAGCCUCACCACAUGGGAAGCAGCUGCCUUCCUCAUUCACUCUGGCGUGAGUUGCAUGAGAUCUAAGGAAAAGCACCAUGACAAGGACAGGCUGGAACACUGGCCUCCGCCUGAUGUCUGUCAUGAACAUCAGUGUAUCUCAAAUGCUCUGGGGCCUGUUGGGGAACGUGAUUCCAGGUGUCUUUAAGUGUCCCGAUCUGAGGGAAGUGUUUGGUUGGCCUGUGACUCCACAUGGCUGCUUAUCCCUGAUGUUAUGGUGUAUGUCGGAUGUCUUAGUUACUUUUCUCAUUGCUGAAACAAAAUACCUGACACUCACAGCUUAAAGGAGGAAAGGUUUCUUUUGGCUCAUGGUUUGUAGAAUUUUCAGUUCAUAGUUGGCUGGCUCCAGGGCAGGGUGGCAGGGCAGAGGGAGACAUUGCAGAGGAGAAACAGUCCAUGGCAGGCAGAAGGCAGCAAGCAGCCAGCUACGAGCAACUGGCAGCCACCUAUCUUAUCCAGGCUAUCCAUGGGUAACACAUCCAAGGUGGGGCUGCCUUAAUGCUAGCAUUGCCCAGGAAUCAAUCCCAGUAUCACAUCCUCGAUCCCAGCAGCACACACUCUAGAUCCAGCUCCACCUAUGACCACAAAAGGCUUUGGGAGGACAUCUAGAUACAAGCCAUAAAAACGGACAAGGAGAAGGCAGAGCCUCGUGAUGGGAUGUAAGCAUCCAUCCCUCAGGACAUGAGCAGCAUACUUACUCAUUUGCUCUUACCAUUUUUUUUUUUUUUUUUUUGAGACCAGGUAUGGUGGCAUAUGCCUAUAAUCCCAGUACUCGGGAAGCAGAGGCAGGAAGAUUGCCACUAGUUUGAGGCCAGCCUAAAUUACAUAGUGAGACUGAAUCUUAAGCAAGAAAAGAGAGAGAGAGAGAAGUUGACUGGGGCUGGGCUCAAACUUGAGAUCCUCCUGUCUCAGCCUCCCAUAGUGCAUUAGCAUGGCCAGCUAAUUCCUGCCACUUUCUGAAGCAGUUCUGGAAGUCUUUUGUGAAUGUCUUCAUGAGGUGUGAUCAAAACUAAUACUGUUGCUGAGUGCCAUCUGAUGGAAAGGCAGGCUUACAAAAACAUUACUGUGCAUCCUCAUCCACCUAUUCACCAGGCCUGGCACUGUACAACUUCUGACUCUUUGCCAGAGUCAAAAUGAUUAUGAAAGAAAAACAUUUGAAUCAUUUCAGGACAUCGAGGUAGUAGCCAGAAACAGUACUACUAAAGACACUACGCAAAAGGGGACUUCUAGAACUGCUUCAGAAAGUGGUAAAAACAAUGGGAUAAGUGUGUUCCAAGUGAGGGGAGUAUUUUGAGGGGGAUCCAUAGCAACAGACCUUUUACUGUAAUAAAAAAAUUUUCAAAUAUUAAACACCGUAUUUUUCUGUUAGAACACAUACAUGUUUCUUCACAUCCAGGUCUGCAGCUGACCAACACUGCGAUCCACUUGCUUCCAGCCUUGCUAUAUGCUUGUGGGCUGCCUGGUAUGCUGGGGCUGCCGUCACAUGGUCCAUUAACUAGGCAUCUUAAAAUAACAAAUCCAUUCCCUUGGAACUCUGGAGGCCUAAUGCCUGAGGUCAGGCGCCAGCAUGGCUGCUUCCUACAGUGGGCUCAGGAGGGUGUAUUCAAGCCUCUUUCCAGCUUUUGAGGGCUGGAGAGACCAGUGGUCCUUGGCUUGGAGCAGCAGCACCCCAGUUUCUGCCUCCUCAGCACAUGGUCUUCUCUGUGUCUCCAUGCUUCCCCUCAUGUGGACUGGGUCAACCUCACACCAUCACAUCUCCAAAGACCCUGUUCCGUCAGGCCACAUUCCCAGCCUAGGAAGUCAGCACGCCUUUUGGGGGACACAGUUCAACUCCCAAUAGUGGUAUUCACUUUUGUCUUAAUUGUAUUAAUCACUUCAUUUGUAUUUUUAUAAAAUAACAAGAAAAUGUAAUACUUGAAUUACGAAAAAGAAAACCUACUGCUGUUACUGAGGCAGCAGAUGUGGUCUAGGGAUGCCAUGGCUACUGUGCCUCAGUGCUAUUAGCAAGCCACCCGCACUGGCUAGAAAUGAACUGUGUCCCCUCUUUCCACAGGGAACUCCCAGUACAGCCAGCAGCAGGCCGGGUACCAGCAGGGCACAGCCCAGCAGCAGGCAUACCCCCAGCAGCAGUACCCCAGCCAGCAGAGCUACCCAGGGCAGCAGCAAGGCUACGGGCCUGCCCAGGGCGCCCCUCGCAGUACUCCAGCUACCAGCAAGGACAAGGCCAGCAGUAUGGAAGCUACAGAGCGUCGCAGUCGGGACCCUCUGCCCAGCAGCAGCGCCCUACGGUUAUGAGCAGGGCCAGUAUGGAAAUUACCAGCAAUAAGGGACAAGCAUUCUUGUUGGAGCCCUUGUGGUAGCGUGUCCGCCCAGGGAUGGACGGGCCAGUGGCUGUUCAGAGGAAUUGUGACAUGCCGGUCACCCUUCGCCCUAUGCCACGUCUGCAUGUGAAGCGUGCUCAUUUCAUGCUGGGUAUGACAUUGAGCGUGCACCACUGGCACCAGACAGCACUGUGAUGGUGUGACAGAUUUGGUGCUGUAUAUAGUAUUAUAUGUUGAUACAGUGGAGAGGUUGUCCCCUUUUUGUCCCCCACCCCCUUCUUGAGGUCCUAGCUAGCUUCGGGGGUCAUCUUGUUAUCAGUAUAAUCAUGUCCAGAAAUGGGACAUAUUUAAAAGACUCCCUCAUCCAUGAUUCACAUCAAGAGACCCGGCUCUUCUCCCUCUCCUCAUGCCAGUGUCACACUGUGGGUUGUAAACGUUUCUGUAACUGUACUUGCAGCCCUGGAUGCCCACCUCUGCUUUGCCUGGAUGGGAGCUGGGGCACUGCCUGUGUUUUAGGCCAGUUUCUGUUAUUCCACGACAAGGAUAAAUAUGCUUCACCUGGAGAGGCUUCGUACCAUCAUUUCCAGAGCUUGCCCAUUGCUUGUGCUCUCGCUAAUUCUGUUAUCCAAAAAAGCGUACAUCUUUGUAUUAGAAGAUGGAAAGGGAUCAGUGACUAUAUUCCAAAUAAAUAGGAGUCAGUGAGGGCAACAUGCAAUUAGCCUAGUGGUGGCGAACCUGUGGCACACAUGCCACCGUGGCUGUUUGUAUUGUUGAAAGCUCUAAAAGGUUCGCCGUCACUGGAUUCGCCAGACCUGGGAGUGCUGUGUUGCUGAGGAGUGACAGCCGUUCUCUGCCAACUGGGCCCUCAGAAACUGUUUUGGCUUUGGCCUGUGCUUGCUUAGCUGACAUCAUUUUUAGGAUUUGAAUAUUUAAAAUCCCCAUUUCUAAACAGAGAUAACUUAAAGUAUUGAUACGAAGUUUUCCAAAUAAUCGGCAAGUUUUUUAUUUCAUAUUAUUUCUUCUAGGACCUACUUGUUCAGAUCUCCAAGCAAGUGUUCCUUUUCUUUUAGGGAUGUCUGAAAUCCAUAUCCUAUUUUUAAAAAUUAUCCCCAAAACUUUACUGUAUUCUUUUGAGGGAAAACUAAGUUUUAUAUAAUAAAAUUUGAAUAAUUUUUACAUCCCUUAGACAUUCAGUUCCAUUUAAAUUCUGUGUAGCUCACUUGGAAAAUAGUCAAAUUAAAAAUCCUGUAUUUCCGCUAAUAAGUAGCGUGGAUACUUGAUCAACCUUUACUUGAAUAAUAAAACCGUAUCUACUAUGACUCCUUAAAAAACAACUUCAGAUAAAUGCUGAUGUAUUUCUAAGAACUACCAGGAAAAUACAAAAUAUAUCCAAUGCUUGAUACAUCAGGCUUACUGAAGAUGUUUUUCUCUAAUUCAAAAUAGUUAUGUUUUUAAAAUUAAAAGUAAUUUUUAUCCAGAGUUGAGUGCUUUAAAAUUUAUAAGCUAUUUUGUCAGGGGGUGGGGGUUGUUUUUGCUUCAGUUAAUCCUGAGAGGUCAUGUUGGAAAAUACAGAGCAGGUACCAUUCCUAUUUACAGAUGAAGAACUGAGGCUCAGAUUAAAGGCUUUGUCUGUUUUGACUACCAGUCCUAUCCUAGGAUGUUCUCUCCUCUUCUAAGGGACAGAUAGCAACAAACAUGGGCAUAGAAGCAUUUAUUUUGUAUGCACAGGGUCUAAAAAACCUUUAACACUGGUAAGGGCUUGAAAAAUAUGUGUGCCCACAUUAAAUCACAAAAACGAGAGUUUUUAAUUGCUAAAUGGCAAAGGUAUUAGUUUCAUUUAGGGAGUCAUCUCGAUUUUAUUCUUUUCCUUAGUUUUUAUAGAACUAAUUUGCAAAUUCAACUGGGGACUAAAAUUCCCCAUUGAAAGUGUUAAACAUUUACAUACUGUGAAGAUAAUUUUCAUUCCUUGCCAAUCUGGGAAUAUGCCUUUUAUGUAUGUGUUAAUUUUUUUUUAAGUGCCAUAUUAAUGCUUUUUGAAAGAAAAAGGACACUUGAAAAACUUAUCACCCCAAAAUUUCAAUCUGGAAUGUCUUACAUUAAGAAUUUCUUGAAUGUUGUGUAUAUAUUUUAAAAAGCACUUUGUGAAAUAGUUUGUACAUUUAUUUCCUAAUUUAUACAUGAUUUUUGGUGUUAAUAUAUUUAAUAACAAAAUGUUUAUUUAAUGUUUUGUCCACUUUUAUGUAAUUUUGUGGGGAGAAAGUGAUGCCAGCAAUUCUUUUUCUUGACUGUAUUAUAUCUUCUGUUAUAUGAAUGUUUGAAAAAGCUUAGGCUAAAAUGAAUUGUUCACCCAGUGUGGUUGUGCUGUUUAUGACUCCGUCUACUGAAGGCCAGAAAAGAUGCAAAAGGUCUGUGGAUUGCUGUUCAUUCUUCCUCCUAUUGUUUCCUGACUUCCAUCCAGUCAGUGCUGAAUUCGAGAAGUGAUGAUCAUGACCUUCAUUCAGAUGUGCCGAACAAAUUCAUACUGAUGCGCACGCAGAAGCUCAUCACCCAUUAGGGUUUGUUGUUGAAUCAAGGUCUCUUCGGGCUUAGCACGUUAGGAAGUGCACGGGGCCCUGACCUUGCGCUGGAACAGCCUGCAGAGAUAGUAAUAAGGUGGACAGGAUGAACGAACUCAUACAGUUGGAGUCCCGGCGAGCCUCUUAUUUUGCCAGUAUUUUUAUACACAGGCAUUGGGCGCCCAUUCAAAAUUGUAGAAAGAGGAAGACUUUUUUCCCAUUUCCACUUAAAAUUUUAAGUCAUUGCUUCAGUUCUAUUUAUUAUGUCCAGUCUGUCUUGUUAUUUGUGAGUACAGUACCUUUUUUAAAAGAGAUCCUUAUAGGUUCAUUUUUUCGGAGUUUGGCGUAUGAAUUGUUUAUGCUUUUGGUGUAAUCUCUUAAUAAACUGUUCUUCAAAAAGC